ACGAACGCUGGCGGCAUGCCUAACACAUGCCAGUCGCACGAGACCUUCGGGUCUAGUGGCGCACGGGUGCGUAACGCGUGGGAACCUGCCCUUAGGUUCGGAAUAACUCCCCGAAAGGGGUGCUAAUACCGGAUAAUGUCUUCGGACCAAAGAUUUAUCGCCUUUGGAUGGGCCCGCGUUGGAUUAGCUAGUUGGUAGGGUAAAAGCCUACCAAGGCGACGAUCCAUAGCUGGUCUGAGAGGAUGAUCAGCCACACUGGGACUGAGACACGGCCCAGACUCCUACGGGAGGCAGCAGUGGGGAAUAUUGGACAAUGGGCGAAAGCCUGAUCCAGCAAUGCCGCGUGAGUGAUGAAGGCCUUAGGGUUGUAAAGCUCUUUUACCCGGGAUGAUAAUGACAGUACCGGGAGAAUAAGCUCCGGCUAACUACGUG
rnacentral:rRNA from 1 species